rnacentral:lncRNA from 1 species
UAUGCAUGGAUACAUCAUUCAGACAGAGGCAAUUGAAUUUCUGGAGCCAGUCACCAGCCUUCCUUUGGAUGAUUGUACGUAAGACACUACUAUGAAGUUGAGCUUUAUUGCAUUGUUAAUGGGAAUUUUGAUUGCAAUUGUUGAGUUUUAUGAAGAAUUAACUCAGUGAUGCAUAGUGUCCAAGAACUAUGACAGUGAACUAAAGAAGGUUUAAGGCUAUCCUUCUUUUCUUAUCAAGUGUGCUUCUUCUGGCAGUUCUUCAGGUCAGCUAAUAAUACUGAUCACGGUAAAUAAAAUGUUCAGAACUAAAAUGUUGUAAAGUUCUUUGUUAAGGUUGAGGAAGAGUGCAGUUUGGGAAAUUUUUACAGAUAGAUAAUGCCUAUUAAAUUGUAUUUACAUGUUUCAUGAACUUCUUGGGUGAGUUACAAUUUACAAAUUGAUUGAAGCCCUCCAAAACUGUGUUCCUUGCCAAAUAGUAGUUUGGGUUUGUAUACUUACCUUCGAGAGAAAGUUUAGAUGGGUCAACAACUCAACAUAUCCCGGUCUUCAUGUUCUAAUUUUUGCCAUUGAGCCUUACCAAAAAUAAUAACCAAAUGAAAGUCUGUUUCCAGGUGAUGAUAUUCAAAAAGGUUGAAACGGAUAUAAAGAAGAAAAAGAGAAAGUGCAUGAAAUUACAGCGAUGAUGAUAUUUGGUUGUGUGUGUCAUGACCUUCGACUUUGACAAACUUUUGCUUUCUUUUCAGGUCCACAUGUCAAAGCUGAUCGAAAACAUGUUGAUAAUGAGUGCAAAAUGCUUGAUCGUUUUGGGUAAGUGUUUAGAAAUUGAUGACAGAUAAGUUUCUGAAAACCCGUAGUUGCAUUGUGUUGUGUCAAAGGUUUAUUUUUGUCUUUGUUAUGUUCUUCAUUUUUGG